UGUGGGUACAGAUGAGUAAACUGUGGGUACAGUUUAGUAAACUGUGGGUACAGAUAAGUAAACUGUGGGUACAGUUUAGUAAACUGUGGGUACAGAUUAGUAAUCUGUGGGUACAGAUUAGUAAUCUGUGGGUACAGAUGAGUAAACUGUGGGUACAGUUUAGUAAUCUGUGGGUACAGUUUAGUAAUCUGUGGGUACAGUUUAGUAAACUGUACAGAUUGCUAAACUGUGGGUACAGUUUAGUAAACUGUGGGUACAGAUUAGUAAUCUGUGGGUACAGAUUAGUUAUGAUUUUUUUAGUUUUUCUACCCUGGCACCCGCGGGGCUCCGUAAACACACUUAGUAACUGAGGUUAAAUUUGAUGUUCAGUGCUUUAUUUUUGAAUAUGAUUCAAUAUUAUCUAAAUAAUGGGUGCGAGAAAAGUAUUAAUUUUCAGUUGAAAUGGCAUUAAAAAAGGUUUUAAAAGUCUUGAAUUUAGAUUGAUCAAUCCUGGGGGACCCUGCAAUCAAACGUGCGUUUGAGGGGAGAAAAUGGACUGGCACAUUCAGCAAAUGAAAAGGGGUUAAUGUAAAUCUGAACUAGGGUUGGGCAUCGAGCAUUGAGCAUCGAUAGGACCCGGUUCUAACACUCCGGUCCUCCCGGAACCGUUAGAAUUUUAAAAUUUCGAUUCCAUGUUUUGAUGCCCUGACCGCCGAACGGGAAAAAAAAGCUGCCGAAAACCACGAAGAAAAAGCCACAAGAAGCGCGUUUUAGUGCAUUGCAACUUGAUUACAAUCAUGGACACCGUGCGGCGGCGCUCAAAAGUUUGGCUUAACUUUACGGAAAAAAAAGACUAGUCAGCUCAGUGCAACAUUUGCAACACAACUAUAUCAUGCAAAGGUGGCUGCACGACCAAUUAUGCGCGACUGGCUUCAUGGAAUAUAGUCUAAGUGCCAAGUGCAAAGCUAGCCGAGUGCUACGUAGUUUACACGCUGCGCCGUCAGAACCAGGUAAGUAAAACAAUACAUUACGUCUGUCUUCUGCUGUUCCCGCUAUCCGACCCCGGAUUAAACCGGAAAUGUGAAGUAAGGUUGGCCAACCAUGUUUUUGAAUAAUAUCAAUGGCUAAACAAUUAUAAGCAUAUUUUCGUGAUUUUUUUUUAACACUGCCCUUCCAGAUUCUUUAACCCAUAGCAACGCCCUUGACAAUGAAAAUGCUUUUCUUCGGCAAUCUUCGGAAAUUACGUCACACUGAGAAGUGCGAGGGAAGUCCGCCAUAGAACAGUAUUGUUUGUUGCAUUGCUUUUCGGUAAGAUGCCACGGUGGUGUGUGGCGAUGUUUUGUUCUCACUCAAACGAAAAGUUGUAUGAGUGGCCAAAGGAUAGCAGGGCACGUAAAUGGUCAUCUUUCGUUCGCACGAAGCGAAUGAAUUUCACGGCAUCAUCGAGUAGUGUUCUCUGCUGCAAACACUUCGAAGAUGCCUGCUUCCUUAACCGGUCUGCUUAUGAUCAAGGAUUUGCCAAAAAGUAAGUGUGAUUUUUGGAUAGAUUACUGAUGACCUUGUCAAAGCAGAGCUGCCAACUGUUGUGGAAUGAACAGUAUAAGCUAGCGACGUUAGCCGAAAGUUAACUCGUGGCAAUCCCCGAUCAUAGUUGUUGUUGAGUUCGCUAGGUUAAGCGUGUUUAAAUUGUGCUUUAUCUACGAUCUUGUCCGAAAGGGUUAAUCCACUGUCAAUUGGGAAUGGGGUGUGGAUGUGCAUAUAAGCGGGUCGGCGUCGCGGUAAUUCACGGUCACGUUGCCGUAAGAGACACACACCACCGGUGAGUUUGUGCACAUUUAUUUAUAUUUGUAUUAUGUCAUGCUUCAAGCACUGCAUUGCAUUUGUACGGCGUUUCUUUCAUGGUGAUAGCUUGAUAGCCUUCUAGUUUGUGUUUUACGAGACCCGCUGACAGCUGUUCUCGGUGUGACGUAUCACUUCCGGGUUUGGCCUCUUUCAGGCUCGAACUUCGGAAACGCGAUUAUUUUGUCAAAUAUGCAACAUAUAAAUUAUUUUUUCAUGCUUUAUUUGUUGGACAAUGUUUAAUUACUUUAAUUGUGACCCUAUUUGGCAUGUUAUGAAAUUACUUCACAUUUCUGCUUUAAGCAGUAGAUGAUGGAUGGAUGGAAAAUAGUACGAGAAUAAGUCGUAAUAUUAUGUCGGGGUAUCGUCGAUAUCAUGUAUGUAGAACUAGAUGCAAAAUGACAGACUUGGCGCCGUUACAACAUAUAAAGAGAAAUAGAUGCGAAAUGACGACUCGCUGGCGUUAGUAAACCGCCGCCAUCUUGAGCACUAGACGCCUCCGUUAAAUUAAACAGUAUUCAAAGACUGAUAUUUAUAUACAGGUUAAAAAUAACCCUGUGAGAAAUUAAUAUAAUUUAUAAAUGUCAUAUUAAUUGUAUUAAUAAUAAAUAAUGAUAAUUUGAAAUUAAUCUAAAUAAUAAUAAAUUUUAAAUUCAUAUCAUCUUUUAAAAAAUCGAGAAGUUAAGACAUUUAUUUAAACAAUUUUUUUUUUUUAACCUGUCCUGUUCAGCUCUUUGACAUGGAGAAUGGAAGUCUAAGUGUCUGGUUGGUCUGAACAGUUUUAGUGUUUCACGUUGGGAGUAUGACAUACUCCCGUUGUGAUCAUUCAACAUACCUCGUUUAUUAUGACAAAGCAGCGAACAGGAAGGGUUUAUGGGAAACAGAAGACAAGAAACACAAGAGAAGAAAGAAAAGAAACAAACAAAUACAUUGAACAUCUACACUAACUAUUAAUAUGUUGGUGCUAUCGUCAGCUAGUUGUAUUUCCGGUUGACACCAUGUGGGGUGGCCUGUUGACCAGGGAAAGAAGGGGGUGGGUGAGUCUAUAAGCUAAGUGAUUGAAAGGGAAUGUACACAAAUCAACUCUGUGAUUUAGAAACCAGUAAUCGUGUGAAUCCCUUGUGAGUGUAAGCCCGUUGGCGACUGACCCUACGCUGCCCCAUCGCCAAUCACGGCACCGAGACACCCCCACCCAAGCGCUCCCAGUCACAUCCAGCCGCACGCGAGCCCCACCAAGCACGCAACAGCCACGCAGACGAGCAGAGACGCCACGCGGGUUCCAACCCAGGGCCAAGCCCAACCCCAGGCUCAGGACUCGGAACUCGGAGAGUGCAAACGUAGAACGUGGACGAGCGUAGACGGCGCGCGGCCGUUGGCCGAAACCUAGACCGCGGCCCGCCUCCUCCUCGUGUCCUAGAAAAUCCCGCGCCGCCGUUGGCCGAAACGUGGACCGCUGCCCGCCUCCUUUUUUCGGCCGCGGCCAAUCGGCUCUCCUCGCCUACGACCGCGGACGCCCGUGAUUGGCUCCGCGAACGCAGACCGCGGCGGCCCGCCUCCUCCUUACGACGCGCCUGCGGUUGGCCCAAAAGACGCAAUCGGCGAAAAGACCCACGCGCUCAAUCGACAAGCCGAAAAGGUAAAUAUUGUGUAUGAAAUUCGCCAAAAACGAUGCAAACCGAGUGUUGUUUUUCAAUUACCGAUUCGAGCUAACGCUAGCUAGGCUAGCUGGUGUGUGUGUGUGGAUAAGCCGUGUUGUGCGCGUUGCGCCGCGCUAAUAAUAAUUAGCCAUGUGCAGGCACGCACGUAAAGUUAACGUUCAAUGACUCCGUGUGCUAUACGUCUUGUAUUACUUGUAACUAGUCACAAAUUUAACCAAUAACUCAUUCAUUUCACUUGUGUUCAAUGCAUUUUUUGUUGUGACGUGAUCCUCCCUAGCAUGAUGCCCACACUGUAAAUGCUCCCUAUUUGGAUUACAAAAAAAAAAAAAAAAAAAAAAAAAGAAAUACUGUACUACAUAGACGUCAUCAUUUUGUAAGUGGGCCAAUUUUGCAUUUUCCCCAAUAACUUCGGUUUUAUUUGGAAUUUGGGAAUUAGAUGAACUCAAGACACCCCUCUCAACAUUUUAGCAUCUCUGAACAUCAAGUCAUUUUUCUUUUUCUAAUUGCCAGCUAGGAAUGGAGGCAUCCUCUUCAAAAUCAACAAAAACGCAAUUUUAUUAUUACCAUCAUCUAGAAUUUUUCCUCCGUGUCAUGUCCUGCUUUUGUGUUGACACUUGCCUUUGUGUUUCUCAGUGUACAUCAAAAGCGAUGACCGGCCACCACGCUUUGCUGCCUAAACUGCACUUGAGAAGUACAUGUACAAACAAGUUAGGAAAAACCGCCUUGCCGUCACCGCAGCUCCAACAGGCCAGCAGAUCCCCGGCCAGCUCACGGUGACCUUUGGGAAAUACAAAGGCAAGACCUUCAUGUGGCUUACGGAGGAAGAUGUCGGCUAUGUCAAGUAGUGAGUAUAUAUAAGAAAUCGAUAAUAGGCAGUGGAUUGUGUGUCUUUGUUACCCAAAAUAAAAAAAUCGGUUUAAAACAACUACUGCAUGCUCUCUUAAAAAGUCUCCUCGAUGGCCACAGGAGGAGAGGCGACGACAGAAGGGAAGGUGCGACACCAAAACUGGGGAGUGGAGGCUGAAGGAGCAGCUUCUACGCUACGUGGAUAUGUUCCCUCCGGUGUCAUGCCACUUGGAGCAGAACAUCGACCGGGCCAUCUGCGGGCAUGGCCGCUUCCGGUCCUUCACGUUCGAGGAUAUGUGGCAGUGUUAUGACUUCUCCAAGCUCAUCCGUAACGAUCUCCAGGCCGAAAGCGCAGAAGAACGGAAGAUGGCCCUGGAAGCCUUCUGGUUUGUGCGUCAGUGGCUACUGAUGACGGAGUAGGACAUCAAUGUCACGUUAAGAGAUUUCGAUUGUACAUCCUCACAAAGGAGGAGGAGCGAGCUAAAGGCAAAGUUGCACCAGCUACGCCCCUCACGUCAGCUUGUGCAUCAGCAUUAGCAGCAUUAUCAACAUGACCUGCUGUAGCAAAUACACCAUCAUCAGCAGCAGCAGUAGCAGCAGCACAACAACAAGCACCACCACCACAAGGUGAUGAUGAAGACUGGCAAUGUAAAAUAGUACGCGCCUGGGCCGCUUUGUGGCCAAUCCGCACAGGGUCACAAAAAAUAUUCCAAAAAAAAAAAAAAAAAAAAAAAAGGCCUACACGGUCAAGGCGUCCACGUCCAAAGGACUUUCUGGCAGGUCUUUUGAAAACUUUGUAAAUUUUAAGGAGGCAGUCAAUGACCUUAUAAAAUAAAAUACAUUGAUAUGUACUUCAUGUCUCAGCUACUUCUUUUUACACACACAAAUAUGCAGUAUGUUCGGCAUAGCAUAUAGUCCUGUAUAUUGUGCACUUUCCCAAUGAGUGCAGACAGAAAAUUAAAAACCUAGUCCUUAUUUCUCAACACUUCAAUAUCUGCAAAACACUUGCUUAUCAUUAAACUUAUUUAAGACUCAAUACAGGCUGCUUAACUUUUACUGUGUACUAUAGCUCCUGUAUUUAAAUACAAGAAAAAAACUGGAAUUUGAGUGUAAUAACAAAUACAUUUAAAGCAUACAGAGAUUGGGAAAAGUCCUAAUGCCCUUAAUUGAAAGUGGGGAAAAAAUAGGCCAAGACAACACAACAGCUAAAACACAGUAAUGAUGAAAUCUAUAAUGCUGCGCUUCGGACCACGACGUCACUUGAAGGAAACAACGUCAAACUUUGGUCCCGCCCUCCCGCAGCCUCUGAACAGAUGCUCAACCACCCUGCGGAAUGGAAAGAUGCCAAGACCACCCAGAGUUAACUUGUUACCUGUUGGGCAGAAUGACCUCGUGAAUGAAAAUUUAAAACCUAGUGACUUACUUCUAAUGGAAUACUAGUUUCUUAACACUUGUAUAUCUGAUUAACACUUGCAUAUUGCAGUUUGCUAUUGGCGUAGUUCAGGAGUCAGCUAUCAUUUUAUUUAUUUCAACAUCAUCCUUCGUACACUGCUUAGUUUAAAUUUAUUUUUAGGUAGUAGUAGUGUAUAUUAUUUAUUUAUGUAUUGACAUUAAUUUAUUGUGUGAUGCACUGAUAGGGUGUUGCUAUUUUUAAUGUCAUUGUACUAUUUGAAUGACAAAGCCUAUUCAAUUCUAACAUUCAAACAACCGUAUUCAACCGCUACCACAGAAAAGACAACACACACAAAUUGACAUAAAAUAUGAAUGAAUCUGCUCAUCUGUGAAUACGUAUUUUAUAUAUUCUGCGGGGAAAAGUUCACCUAACAAAGGCAUUUAGGAUUCUUUUACAUUGGCCAAAAACACACCUCCUUAAAAUAAAUUCCUAUAUUUAAUAUUUAAAAAGCUUUGAAAUGUCAUAAAUAUUCUUAAUUCCAGAAUAAAUAUGGUUCAAAACAUUAUUUGAAAGCAAUUUUUUUUUUUAAUUUACGUAAAAAACGAACAACUUUUUGAUGUAUGUGCUUAAUAAGAACAAAUGGCAAUAUUUACUGAAGUAAGUGGAAUAAUCUCACAUUCAUCUGUUAAAUAGUCUUUAACGCGCAAAACAAGAUGGAGAAAAUGAUUUGACUAGACUAUGUGGGCCUAAAGUGCAGUAAGCAACCGGAAUUAGUGCUCAUUGUUUAAAUACACUUUAAACUCAUUCAUAAACUGUUUUACAAAAAACUCACAGCCAGGAGGGGAUGUUCAAUUGGAGUGGGUUCGGUCACACACAGAUUGCAGACCGGAAGGAGUACUGGCCAAUCAGAGCAGGGUUGGGGUUCCACCCCACAGUCUGGACUGAUGACCAAUCAGAGAGGGCGUAUUUAAUUGUAGGGCAGAAUUGAUACAAAUCAGUCAACGUUUCGCGAUUUGAAGACAGAGGCCGCAUCGCGCUCGACCUUUGACCCUUGACUCUAAAGUUUGGCCCCGGACCUCAACGUUGAGCGCAGGUGUCGCUAGAGUUCGAUUGCACUUCACGUGGGAGG